rnacentral:misc_RNA from 1 species
GUAGGUGAACCUGCGGAAGGAUCAUUAACACGUUCUAAACGUUUAUCAAACUAACUCUAACCGUAUCUCCCUGGUUAAUUAAGUAUCGUCAUUUUGCAAGUAAUCAGGUUUUGGUGAGGUCGCAUCCCACUUGGUAACGAGAGGGACAGUGGACAUGCCUGAUGAAAACAAGUCUAGCUGGAAACAGAGAGACGGGCGAUGAAUUAUUAAUUGGGCUUACUCUUUUCACCAACUUUCAACCGCCUUGGAA